AAUACGUUCCCGGACCUUGUACACACCGCCCGUCAAGCCAUGAAAGUCUGGUGGACCUGAAGGCCGUAACCGCAAGGAGCGGCUCAGGGUAAAACAGGUAAUUAGGGCU
rnacentral:rRNA from 1 species